AUUGAACGCUGGCGGCAUGCUUUACACAUGCAAGUCGAACGGUAACAGGUUAAGCUGACGAGUGGCGAACGGGUGAGUAAUGCAUCGGAACGUGCCCGAUCGUGGGGGAUAACGCAGCGAAAGCUGCGCUAAUACCGCAUACGAUCUGAGGAUGAAAGCGGGGGACCGUAAGGCCUCGCGCGAUCGGAGCGGCCGAUGUCAGAUUAGGUAGUUGGUGGGGUAAAGGCCCACCAAGCCGACGAUCUGUAGCUGGUCUGAGAGGACGACCAGCCACACUGGGACUGAGGCACGGCCGAGACUCCUGCGGGAGGCAGCAGUGGGGAAUUUUGGACAAUGGGCGAAAGCCUGAUCCAGCAAUGCCGCGUGCAGGAAGAAGGCCUUCGGGUUGUAAACUGCUUUUGUACGGAGCGAAAAGGUCCUUUCUAAUACAAGGGGCUCAUGACGGUACCGUAAGAAUAAGCACCGGCUAACUACGUGCCAGCCGCCGCUGUAAUAC
rnacentral:rRNA from 1 species